rnacentral:rRNA from 1 species
UACGUAGGGGGCAAGCGUUGUCCGGAAUCAUUGGGCGUAAAGCGCGUGUAGGCGGCUCGAUAAGUCUGCUGUGAAAGUCCAGGGCUCAACCCUGGGAUGCCGGUGGAUACUGUCGAGCUCGAGUCCGGAAGAGGCGAGUGGAAUUCCUGGUGUAGCGGUGAAAUGCGCAGAUAUCGGGAGGAACACCAGUGGCGAAGGCGAUCACCUGGGGUUGUUCUGACGCUGAGGAGCGAAAGCCAGGGGAGCAAACGGG